UACGUAGGUGGCAAGCGUUGUCCGGAUUUACUGGGCGUAAAGAGCGCGCAGGCGGUCGUUCAAGUCGGAUGUGAAAGCCCCCGGCUCAACUGGGGAGGGUCAUUCGAUACUGAUCGACUCGAAGGCAGGAGAGGGAAGCGGAAUUCCCGGUGUAGUGGUGAAAUGCGUAGAUAUCAGGAGGAAUACCGAUGGCGAAGGCGGCGUUCUGGACUGUAUCUGACACUGAGGAACGAAAGCCAGGGGAGCAAACGGG
rnacentral:rRNA from 1 species